AUUGAACGCUGGCGGCAUGCCUUACACAUGCAAGUCGAACGGCAGCACGGGAGCAAUCCUGGUGGCGAGUGGCGAACGGGUGAGUAAAGUAUCGGAACGUGCCCAGUCGUGGGGGAUAACGUAGCGAAAGUUACGCUAAUACCGCAUACGAUCUAUGGAUGAAAGCGGGGGAUCGCAAGACCUCGCGCGAUUGGAGCGGCCGAUAUCAGAUUAGGUAGUUGGUGGGGUAAAGGCUCACCAAGCCGACGAUCUGUAGCUGGUCUGAGAGGACGACAAGCCACACUGGGACUGAGACACGACCCAGACUCCAACGGGAGGCAGCAGUGGGGAAUUUUGGACAAUGGGCGAAAGCCUGAUCCAGCCAUGCCGCGUGCAGGAUGAAGGCCUUCGGGUUGUAAACUGCUUUUGUACGGAACGAAAAGGUUUGGGCUAAUAAGCUGAGCUCAUGACGGUACCGUAAGAAUAAGCACCGGCUAACUACGUGCCAGCCGCCGCAGUAA
rnacentral:rRNA from 1 species